GACGUAGGGCGCGAGCGUUGUCCGGAUUUAUUGGGCGUAAAGAGCUCGUAGGCGGCUUGUCGCGUCGACUGUGAAAACCCGCGGCUCAACUGUGGGCUUGCAGUCGAUACGGGCAGGCUGGAGUUCGGUAGGGGAGACUGGAAUUCCCGGUGUAGUGGUGAAAUGCGUAGAUAUCGGGAGGAACACCAGUGGCGAAGGCGGCUUUCUGGCCUGUUCUUGACGCUGAGGCGCGGAAAG
rnacentral:rRNA from 1 species